GCAAGUCGAGCGGACAGAUGGGAGCUUGCUCCCUGAUGUUAGCGGCGGACGGGUGAGUAACACGUGGGUAACCUGCCUGUAAGACUGGGAUAACUCCGGGAAACCGGGGCUAAUACCGGAUGGUUGUUUGAACCGCAUGGUUCAAACAUAAAAGGUGGCUUUGGCUACCACUUACAGAUGGACCCGCGGCGCAUUAGCUAGUUGGUGAGGUAACGGCUCACCAAGGCGACGAUGCGUAGCCGACCUGAGAGGGUGAUCGGCCACACUGGGACUGAGACACGGCCCAGACUCCUACGGGAGGCAGCAGUAGGGAAUCUUCCGCAAUGGACGAAAGUCUGACGGAGCAACGCCGCGUGAGUGAUGAAGGUUUUCGGAUCGUAAAGCUCUGUUGUUAGGGAAGAACAAGUACCGUUCGAAUAGGGCGGUACCUUGACGGUACCUAACCAGAAAGCCACGGCUAACUACGUGCCAGCAGCCGCGGUAAUACGUAGGUGGCAAGCGUUGUCCGGAAUUAUUGGGCGUAAAGGGCUCGCAGGCGGUUUCUUAAGUCUGAUGUGAAAGCCCCCGGCUCAACCGGGGAGGGUCAUUGGAAACUGGGGAACUUGAGUGCAGAAGAGGAGAGUGGAAUUCCACGUGUAGCGGUGAAAUGCGUAGAGAUGUGGAGGAACACCAGUGGCGAAGGCGACUCUCUGGUCUGUAACUGACGCUGAGGAGCGAAAGCGUGGGGAGCGAACAGGAUUAGAUACCCUGGUAGUCCACGCCGUAAACGAUGAGUGCUAAGUGUUAGGGGGUUUCCGCCCCUUAGUGCUGCAGCUAACGCAUUAAGCACUCCGCCUGGGGAGUACGGUCGCAAGACUGAAACUCAAAGGAAUUGACGGGGGCCCGCAC
rnacentral:rRNA from 1 species